CCUACGGGAGUCAGCAGUGGGGAAUAUUGGGCAAUGGGCGCAAGCCUGACCCAGCAACGCCGCGUGAAGGAAUAAUGCUCUCGGGUUGUAAACUUCUUUUGUCAGGGACGAAGCAAGUGACGGUACCUGACUAUUAAGCCACGGCUAACUACGUCCCAGCCGCCGCGGUAACACGUAGGUGGCAAGCGUGGUCCGGCAUUACUGGGUGUAAAGGGCGUGGAGGGGGGGGAGGAAGUCAGAUGGGAAAAACACGGGCUCAACCUGUGGCCUGCAUUUGACACUGGUUGUCUUGAGUGCGGGAGAGGCAAGCGGAAUGCGGGGUGUAGCGGUGAAAUGCGUAGAUAUACGGAGGAACACCAGUGGCGAAGGCAGAAUACUGGACAGCAACUGACGCUGAGGUGCGAAAGCGUGGGGAGCAAACAGGAUUAGAUACCCCGGUAGUC
rnacentral:rRNA from 1 species